GCCGCUCUAGGCCAACCCUCGAAGGCCGAGGUCCUCCGACGUUGACGUGCUCCGCCCCAGCGGUGCGUUUGCCGGGUGGCGCGUGCGCGUCUUGCUCCGCUGCGGGCGGUUAACGGUCGCGCUCGCGCCGCUCUUCCCUCUCUCCCUCCCCCUCCCCCCCCUCAGCCUCUGCUCGCGCGGGGCUGCCGGGGUUCGGUGCCUUCGAGAAGUUUCCCUCGCUCAGGGCUGAGGUGACCGUUAGGGAGUCUCGACAGCCCCCAUGCACCUGCCGCGUCAGCCUUCCACGGGAGUCUCGUUUCCUUAAGAAAUCGGAAUUCAGCCACGAUUCAUCCUUAGGAGGAGCCAAGUCCAAACUCCAAAGACCGGGAGCUGACUUAAAGUUCUUUACUGGAGUCUGCAUGCUUUGUUGUGAACUCCACAGGUGGUGAUGGAUGUCUACUGUUCCAGGAAGUGCCAGGUUUUGUACACUGGUUAUUAUUGAUGAGGUUGUGCUCCUUCCCUCCCUGUCCUCCAGGCAUUUGAGAAAG
rnacentral:lncRNA from 1 species